UAGCAGUUGAACUGUCAGUCAAUCUGUGCAUUCAUUCGAUAACUUUAACAUUGGCCAUCGCUUUUGCAAUAUUGAAGAUAGCAACUUGAUAUUUGGCAUGGACGUGUAUCUCAUGGAGCUGCACAUUUUGAGUGGUGGAAGGUCAAGGUCAAGGUCGUCCUUCAAGGUCAAAGGUCAAAUAUAUGGCGUCUUACCAUCCGUCCAAAAACUUUAACAUUGAAGAUAGCAACUCAAUAUUUGGCAUGCAUGCGGAUCUCAUGGUGCUGCACAUUUUGAGUGGUAAAAGUCAAGAUCAACCUUCAAGGUCAAAGGAUAAAUUUUGCAAUAUUGAAGAUAGCAACUUGAUAUUUGGCAUGCAUGUGUAUUUCAUGGAGCUGCACAUUUUGAGUGGGGAAAGGUCAAGGUUGUCCUUCAAGGUCAAAUAUAUGGCGUCCGUCCAUCCGUCCAAAAACUUUAACAUUGGUCAUCAAUUUUGCAAUAUUGAAGAUAGCAACUUGAUAUUUGGCAUGCAUGUGUAUCUUGUGGAGCUGUACAUUUUGAGUGGUGAAAGGUCAAGGUCAUCCGUCCAGGUCAAAGGUUAAAUUUUGCAAUAUUGAAGAUAGCAACUCGAUAUUUGGCAUGCAUGCGUAUCUCAUGGAGCUGCACAUUUUGAGUGGUGAUAGGUCAAGGUCAUCCAUCAAGGUCAAAGAUCAAGGUCAAUGAAUAUGAUACUUAUUAUAGAAAAAUGCUUUAAAAUAAGCUAUGAUGAUAAAUGCAUAUGUAAACAACUUCAUGUUUG